CAAUUUUAACAAAAAAUAAAAAGAAAACUUAGAUUAAACCCAAAAAAUAAAUAAAAUAUCCAUUUCGAAAGACGAAAAGGCGCAGCAGAGAGAAACUUGAGGAAAAUUGGAAAUCGAGAAGCAGAGCGCAGAGAAGAAAAAUCUCUUGGCAAAAAGUUGUUUAUUGUUGUAGGCUUAGCGAGCAGCAAACGUUAGCGGUGUUCAUUUUUAAGGCUUUUAGAGAUAGAAAACACAAAAAAUAGAAGAAAACUUUUAUCCACACACACACACACACACACACACACACACACAUACAGACAGACAAACAUAAGCAACCAUGAAGAAGAGCUCCACAUUGACGACCACCACAUCGAUGCUAACGUCUCCGACGCAGUCGGCACAAACGCUCUCGGCCAGCAAAAUGAGCCUGAGCAGCAGCCGUUCGGGCCGAUCCUCGUGUCAAUCACAUGGACCCGUUAGACCAGGCAGCGGAUGCGUCGAUGCGAUUAAGGCCAAGCGAGAGGAGAUCGAAAUCGAUACCAUACUCGAGAAGGCGAAGUUCUACACCUCCGUGUGCCUUGGUACGACUGCCAUUUUGUCGGUGUUCACAUUUCUCUUCCUGAUACCCUUUGUUGUGGAUCCCGCAAUUUCAACAAUCAUAGCCGACUACGAUCCGGUGCCGGUGACCUGCGUUGUCAUCGAUCACAUCUACGCGGAGGGCAUCAAGAAUUGCAGCUGGAGUUCGUGUCGCGAGGGCUGCACCUCAUCACUCACCAAGUGCCAUCAGUUGUAUGUCAACUAUACGCGAAUACCCUUUAGCGAAUGGGAGCGCAAUCCUCGAGACUUGGAGCGCGUCAAUUGGGACGUUAGCUACACAAAGUUUUUAAUCAACUCCGAGGGUUGCGGCUAUCCACCGACAACCAAUUGUAGCGUUUUCGCCAGACAAUAUGGCUUCAAUCACAUUGGCGAGCCUUUUCCCUGCUACUAUAGUCGCGCCUAUCCGGAAGUGGUCAUCGGGCGUUACUCAUGGGAGAAUAACCUGUACCAUCUGGUGCUCUCGCUGAUUAUACCAAAUGUUCUAUUUGCCAUUUCAAUUGGUGUCUUGAGCUAUUGGUAUUGCCCCUGCUGUGAGAAGGCGUGCAAUAAGUCCUCGCGUGUUUACGCCGAAAAGUUUCCAACCAAGGAAGAGUGAGUCUCAUUUAAACCAAACAGACAAAAUCCCUGUAUUGUAUUGUAGUAAUACCCCUAACACACUCUCACACAUCCAUAAAUUUAUAUAAUAAUCCAUUGUGCCUUGUAUUUGGAACUGUCAAAAGUUAUCGUUAUCGUUAUCGAUUGUACAUGUUAAACCUUACUGUAUUGGCCGCUAUAACCCUAACUUAUCCUAAGUUUGUGAAACAACUGUAAGACUCGUUUACCCAAUUUUGUGUUCCCCAUUCACCGAUUUUUUCAUGCCUUUUACGUGUUUCUUUCUUUUCUCUCUCCUUCUCUUUCUUUCUUUUCUCUUUGUUAAAUUAUUUACAGGAUCGUUAACUGCAUGAAAUGUAAUACGGAAAAGUCCUUAACUUUGAAUGUAUUUUGAAUAACUAAAAGCGACAGUGCCUGAAUUUUGAAAAUGAAAUUGAAGUAGGACUCUACAAAAACCAUAAAUCUAAGAAAAAGCUCUAUGUAACCAAAAACAAAUCUCAGCACGCUCAGUACACCCAAUGCAAAUAGCAAAAGUAAAAGCAAAAACUCUUUCAAAAAGUUACUCUGAAGUGUCCUUAGCAAAUAUAUUUUCUGGUUAAUCUCAGCUUCAAGCUAAGCCACCAUAUUGUAAGAACAUUACCUAUCAUACUACACCUCAAGGGCGUUUAGUUAGACCCAUUUUGUCAACUCUCUACAAGACUUUUUCUUCUAAACUAACAGAGCACAAAACAGAAAAAUGCAUAU
rnacentral:misc_RNA from 1 species